rnacentral:misc_RNA from 1 species
GAUGAAGAACGCAGCGAAACGCGAUAAGUAAUGUGAAUUGCAGAAUCCAGUGAAUCAUCGAAUCUUUGAACGCACAUUGCGCCCGCCAGCAUUCUGGCGGGCAUGCCUGUUCGAGCGUCAUUACAACCCUCGACUUCCCUAGGGAAGUCGGCGUUGGGGACCGGCAGCACACAGCCGGCCCUGAAAUGGAGUGGCGGCCCGUCCGCGGCGACCUCUGCGUAGUAAACCAACUCGCACCGGAACCCCGACGUGGCCACGCCGUAAAACACCCAACUUCUAACCGUUGACCUCGAAUCAGGUAGGACUACCCGCUGAACUUAAGCAUAUCAAUAAGCGGAGGA